AUACAUGCAGUCGAACGAAACUUUCUUACACCGAAUGCUUGCAUUCACCGUAAGAAGUUGAGUGGCGGACGGGUGAGUAACACGUGGGUAACCUGCCUAAAAGAAGGGGAUAACACUUGGAAACAGGUGCUAAUACCGUAUAUCUCUAAGGAUCGCAUGAUCCUUAGACGAAAGAUGGUUCUGCUAUCGCUUUUAGAUGGACCCGCGGCGUAUUAACUAGUUGGUGGGGUAACGGCCUACCAAGGUGAUGAUACGUAGCCGAACUGAGAGGUUGAUCGGCCACAUUGGGACUGAGACACGGCCCAAACUCCUACGGGAGGCAGCAGUAGGGAAUCUUCCACAAUGGACGCAAGUCUGAUGGAGCAACGCCGCGUGAGUGAAGAAGGUCUUCGGAUCGUAAAACUCUGUUGUUAGAGAAGAACACGAGUGAGAGUAACUGUUCAUUCGAUGACGGUAUCUAACCAGCAAGUCACGGCUAACUACGUGCCAGCAGCCGCGGUAAUACGUAGGUGGCAAGCGUUGUCCGGAUUUAUUGGGCGUAAAGGGAACGCAGGCGGUCUUUUAAGUCUGAUGUGAAAGCCUUCGGCUUAACCGGAGUAGUGCAUUGGAAACUGGAAGACUUGAGUGCAGAAGAGGAGAGUGGAACUCCAUGUGUAGCGGUGAAAUGCGUAGAUAUAUGGAAGAACACCAGUGGCGAAAGCGGCUCUCUGGUCUGUAACUGACGCUGAGGUUCGAAAGCGUGGGUAGCAAACAGGAUUAGAUACCCUGGUAGUCCACGCCGUACACGAUGAAUGCUAGGUGUUGGAAGGUUUCCGCCCUUCAGUGCCGCAGCUAACGCAAUAAGCAUUCCGCCUGGGGAGUACGACCGCAAGGUUGAAACUCAAAGGAAUUGACGGGUGCCCGCACAAGCGGUGGAGCAUGUGGUUUAAUUCGAAGCAACGCGAAGAACCUUACCAGGUCUUGACAUCCUUUGACCACCUAAGAGAUUAAGCUUUCCCUUCGGGGACAAGUGACAGGUGGUGCAUGGCUGUCGUCAGCUCGUGUCUUGAGAUGUUGGGUUAAGUCCCGCACGAGCGCACCCUUGUUGUCAGUUGCCACCAUAAGUUGACACUCUGGCAGACUGCCCGUGACAACCGGAGAAAGUGGGGACAAGUCGGGGAGCAGCCCCUUUUACUGGGGCACACCGGGUGGAGGGGGGGUCACCAAUCCCAAA
rnacentral:rRNA from 1 species